CAGUAGCACGGGAAUACGUAGGUGGCAAGCGUUGUCCGGAAUUAUUGGGCGUAAAGCGCGCGCAGGUGGUUUAAUAAGUCUGAUGUGAAAGCCCACGGCUCAACCGUGGAGGGUCAUUGGAAACUGUUAAACUUGAGUGCAGGAGAGAAAAGUGGAAUUCCUAGUGUAGCGGUGAAAUGCGUAGAGAUUAGGAGGAACACCAGUGGCGAAGGCGGCUUUUUGGCCUGUAACUGACACUGAGGCGCGAAAGCGUGGGGAGCAAACAGGAUUAGAUACCCCCGUAGUCCCUGUCUCUUAUACA
rnacentral:rRNA from 1 species